GCGCCAGACUCCUACGGGAGGCAGCAGUGAGGAAUAUUGGUCAAUGGUCGGGAGACUGAACCAGCCAAGCCGCGUGAGGGAUGAAGGUACAGAGUAUCGUAAACCUCUUUUGUCAGGGAACAAAGGCGGGGACGUGUCCCCGGAUGAGUGUACCUGAAGAAAAAGCAUCGGCUAACUCCGUGCCAGCAGCCGCGGUAAUACGGAGGAUGCGAGCGUUAUCCGGAUUUAUUGGGUUUAAAGGGUGCGUAGGCGGUCCGUUAAGUCAGCGGUAAAAUUGCGGGGCUCAACCCCGUCGAGCCGUUGAAACUGACGGUCUUGAGUGGGCGAGAAGUAUGCGGAAUGCGUGGUGUAGCGGUGAAAUGCAUAGAUAUCACGCAGAACUCCGAUUGCGAAGGCAGCAUACCGGCGCCCAACUGACGCUGAAGCACGAAAGCGUGGGGAUCGAACAGGAUUAGAUACCCUUGUAUA
rnacentral:rRNA from 1 species